GGGGCUGGAGCUCAGUGGUAGAGCACUCGCCUAGCAUGUGUGAAGCAAUGGGUUUGAUCCUCAGCACCA
rfam:Ictidomys tridecemlineatus contig046611, whole genome shotgun sequence.